GAGAGGCCCUGCCCCAACCCUGGAAUCUCAGCUCUAUGGGCCCUGGAAUCCCCCAUGACCACCUGAGCCCUGGGGGGGCGGCUCCAUCACUGUCACCCAAGGUCUUUAGGAUGCACUCGGCCACUCAGACCCUACAAGGGAGCCCAGCCCGGACCUUCCACCGGCAAACCCAGUUCCCCUGCUGCCUCCAGCCCUGGCCUCACAGGACCCCAAAGGGCCCCUCCCGUGUGGAUCAAGAGGCCAGCAUCUGAGGCUGGUCAUGUCAUCAAUCACUGCUGCAGAGACAGGAGGUGCUGACGAGGGCCAUGUGCAAAGACAGAAGAGCUGACGAGGGCCACUGGGGCCCAGCCUUCCCUUCUCAUUAGAGGCCUAAUGAGCCGCACACCUUCAGAUUCCAUUUCAGUGAAUUAUCAACACCUAAUCUGAGGGAAUAAUGGGCAAGACCACCUGCCACACAGUGAUUAGAUAAACACGCUGAGAGACAGGAUGGAAAGAACUCUGCACCAGUGCAGUCCCCAGAGCUGGGAUGGCAUCAGAAAUGGGUUCCUUGCAUCUGUGGUGUCUACGUGGUGGAAACGGUGGUGCCAGGCUGCACGUCUCUCCCCAGCUCCGUCCAGAGACCUCCAAUGACAGCUUGAACCAGCCACGGCGAGAAUACUUAAACAGUGGCAGUCAUCAAACAGUGCAAAUGAGGGCCUCAUUUAUUCUUUUGUUGAGUUCCUAUUCUUAAGAAAGUGCAGAUUCAGAUUAAACGUGUUGUGUCAGUAGCCAACACACUGUGAGUGGCACAAAAAAAUGAGGAAAUGUUCUUCCAGUACAGGAAAACCAUGAACCAGUUCCUUUUUUUUCUUUUCUUUUUUUCCUUUUUUUUUUUUUUGGAGAGAGAGUCUCGCUCUGUUGCCCAGGCUCAAGUGUGCCGCGGUGCAAUCUCAGCUCAUUGCAGCCUCAACCUCCUGGGCUCAAGCAAUCCUCCUGCCUCAGCCUCCUGAGUAGGUGGGACUACAGGCACACGUCACCACACCCAGCUAAUUUUUUUAAUAUGUUUUGUAGAGACAGAUGAGAUUUUUCAGGGUGACUCACACUCCUGGCAUCAUGCAGUUCUCCCACUACAGCCUCCUGAAGUGCUGGGAUUACUAGCGUGAGCCAGUGCACCUGGCCUGAAAAUGAUUUUCUGAUUAAGUGAGGAAGCUGCCCAGUUUGCUGAUAAACACGUGGGGCUCCAGUGUCCACUUCUGUCUGACCUGCGCCAAUGCCUGUGACAUCCUCUCACUUAGGUCAGUGUCAUGAAAAUACAGCCCACACGCACGUCAGAACUGCACGCAUUUGUCAGUCCUGCGAGUCUCUUGCUGAAUCUGACAGUGACGACGUUUACUCAUUGUCUAUUUUUGCCAAAUCUUGCUUGAUUUGCAGCCAUAGUGUGUCAGCCUGGGUUCCAUCAGGAGAGAGAAACCCCACAGUGAUUUGAACAGGGCAGGUUUUAUUUAAAGGUUUGUUCAAUUUAACAGAGGACUGCCGUAAUGAGGAGUUGAGGAUUAAGGAGUACAGAGAACUGCAAAGAACAUGAGAGAAGCUCAUACAGGCGCCAGCACUGAAGAAGCCACCAGCCCAGCACCACCCUACAAGGGGGCCCAGCCCUGACCUUCUAGCCCAGCCCACUGGAGCUGGCUUAGCCGCACCUUUUCUCCUGCCAGGCCUCCUCGGCACCCUCUGCUCACUGUGCUCAACACUGCACUGGCUGACAUGGGAGAGAUGCUGCUGGGCCCAGAUGCAUUUCCACCGAGCAGACAACGCAGGGCAGCUUUGGAACCCAGAGGCAAUAAAUCAAUAGCCAGCACCCAGAAGUCAACUAUGAAUAGAAUAGUUCAGUAAGAAUCAGUGAGAACAUCCUGCAACAACUGGUUGCAAUAUGGAAUCCAC
rnacentral:lncRNA from 10 species